rnacentral:lncRNA from 1 species
AACACUUGUUUGGGAUGGGAUUUAAAGGAUCACCUUUCAGGAAGCUAAUUUUACUCUGAAUUUGGGUGUGGAUUCUUGUUGAAGUGUUGCUGACAAGAUUGUUGAUGUGUUUUAGGUUUUUGUUUUAAUGGUGAAUGGUUUACUCUUUCCUCACCCGUUUAAUACAUUAAUCUAUUGAUACGGCCGGAAGCAACAUUAAUGGUUGUUUUGGCUCUUAAUACGUAUGAUUUUCAGAUGGACUGGCAGUAAAUUCACAAGAUGUGAGCGUAUCUACUUGGACAGCAACGAAGCUGGAAGUCUCAAAUCAUGGAAGAGAGCAGCAAGGUUUGAGUUGCGUUAUUUUGAUGCCAGCAAUUCUCAAAUAGGAAUGUGUUUUGCAACAAUCAUUCAAAGUUCGCCACCUGCUUUGAAUGGGUAUGUUGCUUUUUCAGGUACCCGCUUUUUCAGUUUUCAUCUUUUUUCCAAAAUUCCAUUCCAUUUCUCAAAAUUCGAUCUGAUCGACUCGGAAUCCUUAAUGGCAGAGAGGGUGGUAGAUAUCGGGGUGGUGACUACUGAGUAGAGUAUGUUUUGGUUAAAUAAAUUGUUUUGCAUUUGGCUAGCUGUCAGAUCCAAGAUUCAAGGUUGUAUGUAUGCAUCUUGUCCAUGCAUAUAGACAAAUAUCUUCAAGGCGGGAUAACAUUGCCCCUUGUCUAGUUUUUGGUUAAAAUAGCAUGAGAUUUUUAACCGUUAUUUGUUUUAGUAAAAAUUUUAUGGUGAAUAGAUUAGAAGGUGUUAACCAUAAAAUCUAAAAUUUCUGUAAGCCGGAGUCUCCAAGUAUUACUUAAAUUUCUUGGUCCUCAAGUAUUUUUGAAUUUUAGUUUAUACUGAAGUUAUCAUAUGUUUAUAAUUUGUUCUUUGAAUAACCUGAUGAGUGUCCUCAAAAAAGACUUGGUGAUUUAGUUUCUUCUUCUUAUUUGUUCUCUUUUUCUUUAUACUUUUAGGCUAGUCAACAAGAAAGAUCAACUUGUGUGUCUUCUUUGAUGCUACUACUAGCAUGAGUAUUCAUUGCAGCCAAAAUUAUAAGGGUUGGAGCUACUGGGCAUCAUCAACAUUCAGCAAAAGUAAAUUUUGAGAGUGGGCUUCUUAUUUGUAUAUGAGCAGUCUUGUUUUUUGUUCUUAAUUAUCCAUUCACUUCCAUCA